AGAAAGGUUGUCAUCGUUUUAUCAUGUCAUUUUAUCUAAAAGUUGUCACAUUUGAUUAUGUCACUUCAUAUAAAAGGUUACUACUUUUCACAUAUCGAUUUAUCUAAAAAGUUACCACUUUUUACAUGUUACUUUAUCUAAAAUGUUACCACUUUUCACAUGUCACUUCAUCUAAAAGUCAUCACUUUUUAUGGUGUUAUUUUAUCUAAAAGGUAUCACUUUUUGUGAUGUCACUUUAUCUAAACGUUACCACUCUUUGUUAUGUCAUUUUAU
rnacentral:lncRNA from 1 species